rnacentral:rRNA from 1 species
UGAGUACGAGACGCUAAGGCGUCGAAGCAGUGGAUGUCAUACUUCCAAGAAAAGCUUGCACUGUCAUAGAUAGAAAACGCCUGUACCAUAACCGACACAGGUGGGUAGGUAGAGUAUACUAAGGGGCGCGAGAUAACUCUCUCUAAGGAACUCGGCAAAAUAACUCCGUAACUUCGGGAGAAGGAGUGCUUUAUUCGUAAGGCUGCAAUAACAAGAUCCAAGCAACUGUUUAUCAAAAACACAGGUCUCCGCUAAGUCGUAAGACGAUGUAUGGGGGCUGACGCCUGCCCAGUGCCGGAAGGUUAAAGAAGUCGGUUAGCAUUAGCGAAGCUGGUAACUGAAGCCCUGGUGAACGGCGGCCGUAACAAUAACGGUCCUAAGGUAGCGAAAUUCCUUGUCGGGUAAGUUCCGACCCGCACGAAAGGCGUAAUGAUUUGGAUACUGUCUCGGAGAGGGGCUCGGUGAAAUAGACUUGUCUGUGAAGAUGCGGACUACCUGCACCAGGACAGAAAGACCCUAUGAAGCUUUACUGUAACUUGAAAUUGAAAUUGGACUUUAUUCGCGCAGUAUAGGUGGGAGGUGUUGAUUAUAAUCUUGCGGGAUUAUUGGAGCCAUCAGUGAGAUACCACUCUUGUAAUGUUAGAUUUCUAACUUUGAAUCAUUAUCUGGUCAAAGAACAGUUUCAGGCGGGCAGUUUGACUGGGGCGGUCGCCUCCUAAAUGGUAACGGAGGCGUACAAAGGUUUCCUCUGAACGGGUAGAAAUCGUAUCUAGAGUGUAAAGGCAUAAGGAAGCUUGACUGUGAGACCUACAAGUCGAGCAGGGACGAAAGUCGGUCUUAGUGAUCUGACGGUACUGAGUGGAAAGGCCGUCACUCAACGGAUAAAAGUUACUCUAGGAUAACAGGCUGAUCUCCCCCAAGAGUUCACAUCGACGGGGAGGUUUGGCACCUCGAUGUCGGCUCAUCGCAUCCUGGGGCGGUAGUACGUCCCAAGGGUUGGGCUGUUCGCCCAUGAAAGCGGUACGCGAGCUGGGUUCAGAACGUCGUGAGACAGUUCGGUCCAUAUCCGGUGUAGGCGUUAGAAUAUUGAGAGGAGCCUUCUUUAGUACGAGAGGACCGAGAAGGACAUACCUCUGGUGUACCAGUUAUCGUGCCAACGGUAAACGCUGGGUAGCUAUGUAUGGAGUGGAUAACCGCUGAAAGCAUCUAAGUGGGAAGCCCACCUCAAGAUAAG